rnacentral:rRNA from 1 species
UUAGCCUACGGGGGGCAGCAGUGAGGAAUAUUGGUCAAUGGGCGGGAGCCUGAACCAGCCAAGCCGCGUGAGGGAAGAAGGUACAGCGUAUCGUAAACCUCUUUUGUCAGGGAACAAAGGCGGGGACUAGUCCCCGGAUGAGGGUACCUGAAGAAAAAGCAUCGGCUAACUCCGUGCCAGCAGCCGCGGUAAUACGGAGGAUGCGGGCGUUAUCCGGAUUUAUUGGGUUUAAAGGGUGCGCAGGCGGCCUGUUAAGUUAGCGGUAAAAGACCGGGGCUCAAACACGGCGA